GAUGAACGCUGGCGGCGUGCCUAAUACAUGCAAGUCGAGCGGCAGCACGGUCUUCGGACUGGUGGCGAGCGGCGGACGGCUGAGUAACGCGUAGGAACAUGCCCUAAAGUGAGGAAUAACUGCCCGAAAGGGUGGCUAAUGCCGCAUGUGCUCUUCGGAGUAAAGCUUUAUGCGCUUUAGGAGUGGCCUGCGUCCGAUUAGCUAGUUGGUGAGGUAACUGCUCACCAAGGCGACGAUCGGUAGCUGGUCUGAGAGGAUGAUCAGCCAGACUGGAACUGAGAACGGGCCAGACUCCUACGGGAGGCAGCAGUAGGGAAUUUUCCACAAUGGGCGGGAGCUUGAUGGAGCAACGCCGCGUGCAGGAUGAAUGCCUUCGGGUUGUAAACUGCUUUUAUGUGCGAAGAAUUUGACUGUAACACAUGAAUAAGGAUCGGCUAACUACGUGCCAGCAGCCGCGGUAA
rnacentral:rRNA from 1 species